UGAAUUCACCACAGAAAAGACUUGCUGUGACAAAUAAGAAAGAAUUCACCUCAAGAACCUUUGGAUUAUUUAUGCAGCAGCUUGAUCAAGCAGAGAUCCUAAACACGAGGUAAACCUGAACAAUCCUUCCAACAGGCUGAAGGGAACACGGUAUUGGUCCACAAUCAUAAAAGUUUCACCUACUCAUAGAUUUUCCCUUUCUCACAUCCAUUUCUGUCUGGUUUGAAGGCUAGAAGCUCAGAAUCAUUGUAUGUCACUUGUGGAAGUGAAGAGUCCUGCCACCCCAUCAACAGGAUGUUGGGGGUGACUGGAUCGGGUCUGCGAUGUCUGAAGAUGUUUAAUCAAGGGGUUUAGCAUUAAGGAUUCCCUCAAUUUCAAUAAAAACAGUUUGCAGUACUCAUUCAGUGACUGUCUGUGCUCUGAGGGUCACUUGCUGGGCUGUUUUCAGAUAUCAAAUCUCCCACUCCCAACAUCCACCAAAAUGUGGGGCAUUAGGUGGGUUGAACGUAAAGUUUUUGAGGUUGAAGAGCAACAAAGGC
ensembl:lncRNA